rnacentral:rRNA from 1 species
GACGAACGCUGGCGGCGUGCCUAAUACAUGCAAGUCGAGCGGACUAAUGGGAGCUUGCUCCCGUUAGUUAGCGGCGGACGGGUGAGUAACACGUGGGCAACCUACCUGUAAGACUGGGAUAACUUCGGGAAACCGGAGCUAAUACCGGAUGACAUAAAGGAACUCCUGUUCCUUUAUUGAAAGAUGGCCUCGGCUAACACUUACAGAUGGGCCCGGGGCGCAUUAGCUAGUUGGUGAGGUAACGGCUCACCAAGGCGACGAUGCGUAGCCGACCUGAGAGGGUGAUCGGCCACACUGGGACUGAGACACGGCCCAGACUCCUACGGGAGGCAGCAGUAGGGAAUCUUCCGCAAUGGACGAAAGUCUGACGGAGCAACGCCGCGUGAGCGAUGAAGGCCUUCGGGUCGUAAAGCUCUGUUGUUAGGGAAGAAUAAGUGCUAGUUGAAUAAGCUGGCACCUUGACGGUACCUAACCAGAAAGCCACGGCUAACUACGUGCCAGCAGCCGCCGUAAGAC